UUUCCUGCCCUCGAGGAGCUCACAGUCUAGUAUGUCUCAUCCCCUACUAGACUGAGGCUCCUUGAGGACAGGGAUAGUCAUACUCACCUC
ensembl:miRNA